CAUUGCUGCACACAGGCAAGCUGCAUAGGGACCAGGGCAGAAUCCACAUUGCUGGAGAAGACCCUCCCACUCUUCCCAGGUGACGCGGAGCAGGGAUAUAUCUGGAAGGAUAAAAUCCUGUUGAAAAUGUAGGGAUACUGUUUAGUGCAGGUCCCUGCUCU